UAAAAUGAUCUUGCCUAACUUUCUCUGGCAC
rnacentral:piRNA from 1 species